rnacentral:lncRNA from 1 species
GUAACGGUGUUUCAUUACUGCAAUAGUAACCCUAACUAGGACAGAAAUUGGUACCAGGAUUGGGGCAUUGCUGUGAAAACCUGACCAUGUGUUUUUUGGAGGAUUGUGGAAGGACUUUGGAACUGAGGACUAGAAAAAGCACUGAAUGUUCAAAGCUUGGUGAGCUGUUGUGUGAGAGCCUGGAGCAGAUAAGAAUGUUGAGAGGAAUGCAGAUGAUGGAGGCCUGGCCUAUGAAAUUCCCCAGGGAAGUUUGAGUCACUUAAAAACUCUGUUGGAGCCAUUGCAUAUUUUGAGUUAAAAAUCUGUGGUUCUGGUCAGCUGAUGCUAAAGAAUCAGCUGUGAUUAACAAAAGUCCAGCACCAUUAAAGCAAAACCUUUGUGUUACUGGGACAGUUGAUAUCGGUCAGCUGGAGCUGAGAAAUUAUCGAUGAUUAAGAAGAGACCAGCAUCACUGAGAUGGAAUCUUCUAGCAAGUGUUUCCUGAGAGUCAGCACACAGAACCCGUGUUCAGAGCUGGCCAAGGUUGUACCAUAUGCUGGCAUCUGAACUUGGUCAUUUGUAAGAGUUGUCCAGGUGGUUCUGGUUAAUUUUUGAAGGCAUGAGGUGUCAUGGAGAACGGCUGAGGCUUGGCACUGUGUGGAAGGGCUGGAGCCUCUGAAGGGAACUCAGGAGAGAGGCUAUUGGUGAGACCGCAGCAUUUUGGAGAUGCCAAUGCGGUGGGACAAGCACCAAGAACAGUAGCAGUGGUGGAGUGGAGCCAGCAGGAGCCCAGAAGACAAGCUGUGUGCACUGCAGCAGGUGGGGCUGGAGAAUGGACCCAGGCCCUUUGGAGGAGUCGGAAAAUGUCUAGGAUCCCAGCCCACUGAAUCUUGUCACUCAGAUUUAGUUGGGUGUCUUUCCUCCUUGGUUUAACCUUUCUUGAUGCACCCCCAGAGAUGUAUCUCCAGUGUGAUUUGAAGACCCACCAUGUUGACAUCAAAAUCAAACAUUGCAAUUGCAAACACCCAAAGGACUUCAACUCCAACCACAAAGACACUUGGAAAUAUUGUUGCUGCUCUAUUCACCACAGCAAGGAAAUGGAAGUAGCCCAAAUACCCACCAACAGAUUAAGGAAUAAUGAGAACAUGUUAGAUAUACAUGAUGGCAUUUUAUUCAGCUCUAAAGAAAAGUGAAAUCAAACUUUCAGGAAAAUGGAUGGAACUGUGAAGAUAAUAUUAAGUGAGAUGACCCAGUUUCAGAAAGACAAAACCCCAUGUUCUCCCUCACAGGCAGAACUGAGCCACCUUGUUUUUUAUAACCACAGUGUAUGUUCUUUGUAUAGUGAUGAAGCUGCCGGAUGAUGCUUCUCUCAGCAAGGAUUUCCGUUGUUAAGCAACACAUGACUGGAUUUAGAGAUGGGAGAUAUGGGAUCCUGAUUUGGAAGAAGAAUGAACAUGUAAUGUUCCUUGACAUUGCCAAGUUCCUCCCAAGGGAGUGCAACUCUUUCCAUUCCCCCCAGUGAGGCAGAAGAAUGCCAUUUCCCCACAGUCUUACCAAGAAAAUUUAUUGUCGAACUUCUGGAUUUUUGCCAGUUGGAUUAUGAGAAAUGAAGUGCCCAGAGAAUUCUACAUUUUCUUCUAAUGAGGGGGAGCCACUCUUUUAUUUCUGCAACUGAGAUGAGCCCCUUCCACUAAUUUUUUGGCUUUUACUUUGAUAUAACUAGUUAUAUCUGGGUUUUUGCUUUGCAGUGUCAGCUAUGGUCUCUUUGGCCAGCAGGGGUCAUGAGGGGUAUCUUGGGGACCCUUCUUAUGGCUUUAAUUUUGACUUUGUUCACUGGGUCUUAGAAGGUGAAGAUCAGCUCCAAGGAUCAUGAGGGUUUGGUCCUCACUUUCCAUCCUGUUUAAGACAGUCUCUUGGGGCUCAUCUCUGUGAUACCAGACUAGCUCACCUAUGAGUUUCUGCAGCUUCUCCCGUGUCUUCCCCCUAUAUGCCCCCAAAAGUGCUGGGAUUACAUAUGUGUGCAUGUGUCUUUCUUUUGCACGGGUUCUAGGGCUCCAGACUGGGGUUGUCAGGUUGUAUGGCAAAUGCUUUAACCACCCAGCUAUGCUACCCCUCCCCUGUCCUCCUUUUCUAGGAUUUUGAGAGACAAAAGAUGAUUGAUUUGAGACUCCUGUUCUUCAGCGUAGGAUUCCAUUUCAAUCAUCUCUCAGGAUUUCUUUAGUUGUAUCCCACAAAAUCUGAUAUGUUUUAUUUCCUUUUUCUUUAAGUUCAAUGGGCUUUAAUUGUUUUUUGAACUGUUCUCUUUGGUUCAUGAAUGAUUUAGAAAUAUAUGAUUUAGUGUCCGAUGGAUGAAAGAUUUUCAUUAUUUAAAGUUUUAUUACAAUGUGGUCAGAGGGUACAUUCCAUGUGAUUAAAAUAUUUAAAUGUGUUAAUACUUAUUUUUAUGGCUCAGAGGCGUCUGCCUUGGUACAUGUCCCACAGGCACUAGAAAAGAAUGUGUACCACUUCUGGUGGGUACAUAUUUUUCUGAAUACUUGUUCUAUACACUGCUGAGAAUUAGAUGUUGGAAUCCCCAACCAUAUAAUCUUGUAUUUAAGCUUGGCAUGGUGUCACAUGCCUGAGAGGAUGGUACCAGAGGCAGGAUGUCACAAGCCUAGGAGGAUGAGGCCAGAGGCAGGGUGAUAGCAACUUUGCAGCCUGGGAUAUACACACAGCAAGAUCCUGUUUCCAAAAAC